rnacentral:lncRNA from 1 species
GUUCUAGAACAGCUUCUAUCCCAGUUCUAUCUGCCUGUUAAAUCAGUUUCUGGACCACAGGUUCUAGAACAGCUUCUAUCCCAGUUCUAUCUGUCUGUUAAAUCAGUUUCUGGACCACAGGUUCUAGAACAGCUUCUAUCCCAGUUCUAUCUGCCUGUUAAAUCAGUUUCUGGAUCACAGGUUCUAGAACAGCUUCUAUCCCAGUUCUAUCUGCCUGUUAAAUCAGUUUCUGGACCACAGGUUCUAGAACAGCUUCUAUCCCAGUUCUAUCUGCCUGUUAAAUCAGUUUCUGGACCACAGGUUCUAGAACAGAUUCUAUCCCAGUUCUAUCUGCCUGUUAAAUCAGUUUCUGGACCACAGGUUCUAGAACAGCUUCUAUCCCAGUUCUAUCUGCCUGUUAAAUCAGUUUCUGGACCACAGGUUCUAGAACAGCUUCUAUCCCAGUUCUAUCUGCCUGUUAAAUCAGUUUCUGGACCACAGGUUCUAGAACAGCUUCUAUCCCAGUUCUAUCUGUCUGUUAAAUCAGUUUCUGGACCACAGGUUCUAGAACAGCUUCUAUCCCAGUUCUAUCUGCCUGUUAAAUCAGUUUCUGGACCACAGGUUCUAGAACAGCUUCUAUCCCAGUUCUAUCUGCCUGUUAAAUCAUCAACCUAAACUGUUGUCAUCAGACUAUUACAACAUGACUGAACUUUUGGUUCCUUUUCUGAUCUUUUACCACUUUGCAUUUUUUAUGAUAUAUUUUACUGUUUGUGUUUGUACCACAGGAGGUUGGUGGGACCUUAUUUAGGGAGGACAGGCUUGUAAUGGCUGGAGUGGAAUAAGUGGAAUGGUAUCAAACACGUUUCCAUGUGUUCCAUUUCAUUCACUCUGUUCCAGACAUUAUUAUGAGCCGUCCUCCCCUCAGCAGCCUCCUCUGGUAUGUACUGUCCUGUAUGUGACAGAGAUCCAACAAGGAAUUACAAUGUAUGUAUUACUUUUAAUACCUGCAAAUGACAAAUAAACUACUGGAACUCCUUAUGAAUGUCUGCAGCCGACAAGAGGUGAAAAUAUUACCGGA